UAUCCAACCUGCCGUCUACUCUUGGACAGCCUUCUGAAAGGAAGAUUAGUACAAGAUGGCAUCAUGAGUCCGCAUGUUCACAUGAUUAAAGGUAUUCCGGUAGACGAUGGGGAUGCGUUCCAUUAGAUAGUAGGCGGGGUAACGGCCCACCUAGUCUUCGAUGGAUAGGGGUUCUGAGAGGAAGGUCCCCCACAUUGGAACUGAGACACGGUCCAAACUCCUACGGGAGGCAGCAGUGAGGAAUAUUGGUCAAUGGGCGAGAGCCUGAACCAGCCAAGUAGCGUGAAGGAUGACUGCCCUAUGGGUUGUAAACUUCUUUUAUAAAGGAAUAAAGUCGGGUAUGCAUACCCGUUUGCAUGUACUUUAUGAAUAAGGAUCGGCUAACUCCGUGCCAGCAGCCGCGGUAAUACGGAGGAUUCGAGCGUUAUCCGGAUUUAUUGGGUUUAAAGGGAGCGUAGAUGGAUGUUUAAGUCAGUUGUGAAAGUUUGCGGCUCAACCGUAAAAUUGCAGUUGAUACUGGAUAUUUUGAGUGCAGUUGAGGCAGGCGGAAUUCGUGGUGUAGCGGUGAAAUGCUUAGAUAUC
rnacentral:rRNA from 1 species